AGAAUAUGUGUGCUGCCGAAGCGAGCACCUUUCGACGUCUUUUAACAGCGAUGAUUAGAAAGUUCAGCCGGAUUGACAGUUUUAAACUGUCUGGCAAAGACUCAGACAUCUUAAAUAGCGCCAGCCUCUUAGCCAAGCUAUCGGAUUAAACAACCAGCUAGGGCUGGGGAAAUAGGGGACUCCCCCAAAAUGAUGUUCACACACCAACAGGCAUAAGAACAGUACGCGGCUUUCGGUAUGUUCCUUCAGGCGCAAGGUGUUUGGCAAGGCUACCGUUUAACCGCCAACUUAGCGCGGCGAUCCUAAGACCGUGAAAAGAAAGUUAUUUUCGAGCAUCAAGAGCUGCAGCCCAGCCAGGGCAAUGCCAGUCUGUGAAAACUUCAAGUCUCACUGCUCUUAUGUGAGGCACUCCACGGGAGUGCAUCACAGUGAGCCCGAUGAGCCGGAAGUCAGACCGGAAGUCAGAGUAUAAGGAUGCUGUGGGACGGAGUGUUGGAGAGGAGGGAACUGUGGGGAUUUAAGUGGGAGUCCUUGUGGUCCUCGGCUGAGGGACAGGGGCUGUUUGUUGAUUAAGGUGAGAUUCCCAAGGCAGGUGGAUACCCUGGGUUUGGGAUCCUGAUGGAGCUAUCUAAGAAUCUGAAGGAACUGGGAGAUGGUCAAGGAAGAAUCGAGUUAACUCACCUAUUUUAACAUUGGAAAUGUUCAGCAAAUGUAAUGGAAAGACUAUGUCUUAAGACUAUGUGUUUGUCCUGGGACAAGAACUGUAGUCUGGGACUCAGGAAACAAGAGUGGGCCCGCUUCAACAAGAAUAAAAAUUAAGCAGGACUACGGGCAUGUGGCAGUGACACUAGCUAUUUUCUAGAGCAAGUGGCAGUGCCCUUUAAAGAAUGACAGUAUUAUUUAGGCUACUAGAAAAAUAGGGAUCUCGUCGGGAAUACAAUAAAAAUUGUCAGACAUUGCAAGAAACAGAAGACAGCUACUCAAGAAAAAAAACCAAAUGAAGCUCAUAGACGAGCCGGCAUAUUUAAGAACUUAAGGUAGAUUUAACGCGAAGAUUAACAUUUACACUUGGAUUGUUUUUAUAAUGUGUAGAGCAUAAAUAUCUAAAUUAAAGAAUUACUUGGGGUCCCUUGGUUUUCAGACCGGAAACAAGACAAGAAUGUCCACGCUUGGGCCCCUGUUCAACACUCUUGUGGUGCUCUUAGGCACUUAAGUAUCAGAUGUCAACUUGGCAAUUGGAUUUAAAAAUCGAAGAUUGGGGAGUGCGGGAGGGGGUGCUGGGGGAUGGUGGUAAUGGCUCAGAGAAACAGAUUUUUAAGAGAUGGAGAAAAGGUGUGGGUGGAUGAGACCCUAGAAGAACUGAAGGAAGGGAAGGUCUAGGGCUAAGGAUGAGUCCACAGCUGAUCAUAGUUCCUGAGAGUAUGAAAGGAGGGAACCCCUGGGCCUACACUGUGCUGUGCGCUAUGUAGAGAGCAGUUUCUCGCUCUGCGCAAUGAGCGGCCGAGGCCGCAAGGGAUUGUGGGAGACUCCGUCUGGUGGCCGACCACGUCCGUCCGUCUUCCGCAGGAGGCACUUCUGUGGUAAAUUCCAGGGCUGUCUGUCUCCUCUGCUGACUCUGUAUGCUUUAUUACCUGGUCCAGUCUCCAGGCCAGGCCUGUCGUGCUCCGGGGUUCUGUAGAAACAGGAAUGCUCGAAUCCAUCACCAUCAACACUGUGCUGUCAGCCUUGGAGCUCCUGUUGAUGUUCCCGCGCCCGUUCCCGCAGCCCCGCCCCCAGCCUCAAGAAGGCGAAACCACCAGGCAUUUCGCAUGGCCCUGGGACAUUGAUGACUACUGUAAAAUAUGGAGCCAGAUGGAUUUACAUUUUUCUCUUCAAGAAGACAAAACAUAGCUUGCCUCUGCUAAGAUCUUAUCUGUUUAAUGAGCAGAGGCAGUAUAAUUAAGGCUUUUUCUCCACGGCUGUAGACGUGCCAGACCUGCUGGAAACUUCGUUUGGCUUUCAUAAAUCAAGUCAGUUUGGACCUGGAUGUACUCAGGGGCCGGUUCUGCCCUGUGUUCAUGGAGGUUGUCACAGUGGUACCUUGUUUUCUCACAGCUGACCUGUCCCUGACCACAGAGAAGCUUCUUGGAUACUGUUGACCAUGGCCGGAUGGCCACUCUUAAGGCUAAGGCAGACCAUGGGGUGAAGGAGUGUGGCUGGCCAGUGGGUAGGGUGAGGGGGCCUCAUCAGGGUUCUGAGAAUGAGCCCUCCACCUUUGGGGAUCUGGCACUGUCCUGUGUGGGGUAGACCUUGGCCAGUGAGCAGACCUCACUUUGGUGGCUUUCUUGGCUCUGUUGGUAUGAGAAGUCUGAAAGUUUCCCCCAAGAGCCUAGUGAAUUAACUGUAUUUGCAAUUUGCAUUCUAAACAAGCCGCGUGGACCAAAUAUGCUGGCUGUAUUGUUUUCUUGGCUCUCGUUCACUUAUUAAUAAUGUGUUGUUUUUUUGGGAAAUAGCCCUUAACUCUGUUGGCUUGGAAGAGGAAUCGGAGGGAAAAAUGUCAUGCUGAAUUCUGCACUAGAAUCCAAAGCAACACAUGUGCGGGAGUGAUCUGGUCAAACAAGGUUACGGUGUCCUAAAACCCUGUGACGAGCAGGUCCAAACGGAAGGUGGACCGUAGAUGUGGGAUUAUUAUCCCAUUUUCCAGAUGCGGAAAUUAAGGUCCAGGGAGCUGGAUAACACAGACAUGGAAGAGGCGGAUGGAUUAGUAUCUGGUUACCAUGCUAUGGAGGGCCAAGGUGUUCUGAUAGGCUUCUGCAAACAAAGGGCUUCAACAAGCGGCAGAUGAGAAAAGAAGUCGUCUGCAUCAGGACCAGCCUCCCUCCGCACGGUGUUGCCGUGUCGGAAGUUCUGAUGUGAGAGCCUGGCAUCUGGAAGAGAAGUAGAUGUAAGGUGACUUGAGAUAUCCUGGAGCUUCAGGCCCUAGAGCAUCAGACUGUGAGAGCUACGGGGAGCUGGGGCAGCAAUGGCUGCCGUCCCAGAGCAGGCGAGAUUGCGGGAGAUAUCUGACUAGCCUUUCCGAUGGCUCUGCGACCUUCUGACAUCCAUGAUGUAGCCAGUAUUUGUUCCGUGUGCCUGUAACUGCCACCAUCCCAGAGGCCUAUGCAUGUCUCUGGUCUUUACCACAGCCCUGCCAAGCAGCUUAAACAUCAAAACUCCAUCGGGCCAGACUUCCUCUUCCAGACCGCUGAGCUAAUAAUGCUCGCUGAAGCCGGGAGCCAGCACCAGGUCUGUGGACUGCAAAGCCCUACUCUUCAUGCGACGUGAAGGGCAUGUCACGGGAGACUAUUCAAGAGAGGAAGACUGACUUCCUGCUCAUCUUCCCCACAGAAAGGCCACUUUGGUGUGAGUCAAUAGUGAGACCGUUACCAGCUCUGGUUUACCGUGGCCUGCGUGGAGUCUGUGGGGGUAUCUCGAUCAUCUCCCAUCCACCCCCAUUCUAACGCAGACAGAGGCUCUGCUCAGGUACACACCGGGUCUGAAACCGGCUUUCAUCCAAUUAACGGGCAACAGGAGUAUUGAGACGGCUCCAAGAGUCAGGACUCACGGACAAUUUCUCUUUGUGUCUUCUGGUGGUGGUUGGAGUUUACAGAUGGGAAGCCACAGCUGGCUUCCCCCUUUCUCCGAGGGGCCCCGAUAGCCAGUCAACUGAGUUUUCCGUUGUCAUUUUUCACAGGUUUAUUAGCUGUCGGCUACCACGUUGUGUUAUUUCGUUCACAUGAUCAUUCACUGAGCGUGAACAUACCCUGGAGCGCCUCAGCUGUGGCCAUGUUCACUGGACGCUAGGAACUGGCUCAAAGUUGGCUGCGUAUGUGUGAAAUGAGAAAGAGGCUUUUGUUUGUUUGUUUCCUAGUCAGACACAUCAACCAUUGAGAACAAAA